GAUGAACGCUGGCGGCGUGCUUAACACAUGCAAGUCGAACGGAAAGGCUCCUGCUUGCAGGGGUACUCGAGUGGCGAACGGGUGAGUAACACGUGGGUGAUCUGCCCUGCACUUCGGGAUAAGCCUGGGAAACUGGGUCUAAUACCGGAUAGGACGAUGGUUUGGAUGCCAUUGUGGAAAGUUUUUCGGUGUGGGAUGAGCUCGCGGCCUAUCAGCUUGUUGGUGGGGUAAUGGCCUACCAAGGCGUCGACGGGUAGCCGGCCUGAGAGGGUGUACGGCCACAUUGGGACUGAGAUACGGCCCAGACUCCUACGGGAGGCAGCAGUGGGGAAUAUUGAACAAUGGGCGCAAGCCUGAUGCAGCGACGCCGCGUGGGGGAUGACGGCCUUCGGGUUGUAAACUCCUUUCGCUAGGGACGAAGCGCAAGUGACGGUACCUGGAGAAGAAGCACCGGCUAACUACGUG
rnacentral:rRNA from 1 species